rnacentral:rRNA from 1 species
UUUCGCAAUGCCCGAAAGGGUGACGAAGCGACGCCGCGUGUGGGAAGAAGGCCUUCGGGUUGUAAACCACUGUCGGGAGUUAGGAAAUGCAGGUGCGUUAAUAGCGCACUUGCUUGACUAAGGCUCCAGAGGAAGCCACGGCUAACUCUGUGCCAGCAGCCGCGGUAAUACAGAGGCGGCAAGCGUUGUUCGGAAUUAUUGGGCGUAAAGAGCACGUAGGCGGCCUUGCAAGUCAGUUGUGAAAGCCUUCCGCUUAACGGAAGAACGGCAUCUGAUACUACAGGGCUUGAGUACGGGAGGGGAGAGUGGAACUUCUGGUGGAGCGGUGAAAUGCGUAGAUAUCAGAAGGAACGCCGGCGGCGAAAGCGACUCUCUGGUCCGAAACUGACGCUGAGUGUGCGAAAGCUAGGGGAGCAAACGAGAUUAGAUACCCCGGUAGUCCUAGCCGUAAACGAUGGGCACUAAGUAGAGGGGUUUU